ACCUGGAUGGCUCAGUCAGGUGAGCGUCUGACUUUGGCUUGGGUAAUGACCUUGGGGCUCAUGAGUUCGAGCCCCAUUUUGGGUG
rnacentral:tRNA from 1 species